AAGUGCAGCAUAAGGAAUAUAGUUGAUAAUACUGUAAUGACUUUGUAUGGUGGCAGUUGUAAAUAUCAAAGGGAA